rnacentral:rRNA from 1 species
GAGUUUGAUCAUGGCUCAGAGCGAACGCUGGCGGCAUGCUUAACACAUGCAAGUCGCACGAAGGUUUCGGCCUUAGUGGCGGACGGGUGAGUAACGCGUAGGUAUCUGUCCAUGGGUGGGGGAUAACAGCGGGAAACUGCUGCUAAUACCGCAUGACACCUGAGGGUCAAAGGCGCGAGUCGCCUGUGGAGGAGCCUGCGUACGAUUAGCUAGUUGGUGUGGUAACUGCCUACCAAGGCGACGAUCGUUAGCUGGUCUGAGAGGAUGAUCAGCCACAUUGGGACUGAGACACGGCCCAAACUCCUACGGGAGGCAGCAGUGGGGAAUAUUGGACAAUGGGCGAAAGCCUGAUCCAGCAAUGCCGCGUGUGUGAAGAAGGUCUUAGGAUUGUAAAGCACUUUCGACGGGGACGAUGAUGACGGUACCCGUAGAAGAAGCCCCGGCUAACUUCGUGCCAGCCGCCGCCGUAAC